rnacentral:tRNA from 1 species
GGCCUCGUAUCUAAUUUGGAAAUAGCGUUGGCUGAACUAAAGCCUUCCCCUUGCUGGCGUGGGUUCGAAUCCCAUCGAGGUUG